rnacentral:rRNA from 1 species
UACAGAGGGUGCAAGCGUUGUUCGGAAUUAUUGGGCGUAAAGCGCGUGUAGGCGGCCGUGCAAGUCGGGUGUGAAAGCCCUCAGCUCAACUGAGGAAGUGCGCCCGAAACUGCAUGGCUUGAGUACCGGAGAGGAUGGCGGAAUUCCCGAAGUAGAGGUGAAAAUUCGUAGAUAUCGGGAGGAACACCGGUGGCGAAGGCGGCCAUCUGGACGGAUACUGACGCUGAGACGCGAAAAGCGUGGGUAGCAAACAGG